rnacentral:lncRNA from 1 species
AAGAGCUAAAUGGAUCAAACUAGGGGAUUCCAACAAUAAAUACUUUUCAGCAGUCAUGAAGGAGAGGAGCCAACAUAAGAAGAUUAUUGAACGCUCCACAGAAGGAGGCCUGAAGAUAAAUGAUCCUGCAGAUUUGAAGAAUGAGAUUAGGGAUUUCUAUCAAGCUCUAAUGGGAACUACAACCAACUCACUUCCAGCAGUGAAUAAGAUAUAUAUGAGGAAUGGACCAAAAUUAUCUCGAUUACAAAGGAUGGAUCUUGUAGCUGAUAUAACUGAUAUAGAGAUAAUUGACAGCUUGAAGGGUAUUGGAAAUGAUAAAGCUCCAGGGAUUGAUGGUUNNNNNNNNNNNNNNNNNNNNNNNNNNNNNNNNNNNNNUGGAGAUAAUUGACAGCUUGAAGGGUAUUGGAAAUGAUAAACCUCCAGGGAUUGAUGGUUUCAAUGCCAUGUUCUUCAAAUAAUCCUGGCAUAUCAUUGGUAACCAGGUUAUUUUAGCUAUCAGGAAUUUCUUUCAUACCUCCAAAAUGUACAGACCUACUAAUUGUGCAACUCUCACUUUGCUGCCUAAGGUACCUAAUCCUCAAACAGUGAAAGAGUUUAGGCCAAUAGCUUGUUGCUCAGUCUUGUAUAAGAUUAUUUCCAAGCUUUUGGCUAAUAGACUCCAAAAAGUUAUGAGUAGUAUUAUAUGCAGUUCUCAGGCUGGAUUUAUACCAGGAAGAAGAGUAGCAGACAAUGUGAUAUUAGCUCAUGAGCUAAUAAAACAGUAUUCCAGAUCACAUAUCUCUCCCAG